UGAACCGUAAAAGGGUUCAGGAAUAAGGGCUGGGUAAGACCGGUGCCAGCCGCCGCGGUAACACCGGCAGCUCAAGUGAUGGCCGAUAUUAUUGGGCUAAAGCGUCCGUAGCUCGCCGUGAAAGUCCAUCGGGAAAUCCACCCGCCUAACGGGUGGGCGUCCGGUGGAAACUGCACGGCUUGGGACCGGAGGACCCGAGGGGUACGUCGUGGGUAGGAGUGAAAUCCUGAGAUCCUCGACGGACCGCCGGUGGCGAAAGCGCCUCGGGAGGACGGAUCCGACAGUCAGGGACGAAAGCUAGGGUCUCGAACCGGAUUAGAUACCCGGGUAGUCCUAGCCGUAAACGAUGCUCGCUAGGUGUGGCGUAGGCUACGAGCCUGCGCUGUGCCAAAGGGAAGCCGCGAAGCGAGCCGCCUGGGAAGUACGUCUGCAAGGAUGAAACUUAAAGGAAUUGGCGGGGGAGCACUACAACGGGAGGAGCCUGCGGUUUAAUUGGACUCAACGCCGGACAUCUCACCGGCCCCGACUCCGGGAGUGAAGGUCAGCUUGACGAGCUUACUCGACCCGGAGAGAGGUGGUGCAUGGCCGCCGUCAGCUCGUACCGUGAGGCGUCCUGUUAAGUUAGGCAACGAGCGAGACCCGUGCUUCUAGUUGCCAGCAGCAUCUUCGGAUGGCUGGGUACACUAGGAGGACUGCCUUCGCUAAGAAGGAGGAAGGAGCGGGCAACGGUAGGUCAGUAUGCCCCGAAUGGGUCGGGCAACACGCGGGCUACAAUGGCAUGGACAACGGGACGCGACUCCGAGAGGAGGAGCUAAUCCCACAAACCGUGUCGUAGUUCGGAUUGAGGGCUGAAACUCGCCCUCAUGAAGUUGGAUUCCGUAGUAAUCGCGUCUCAGUAAGGCGCGGUGAAUACGUCCCUGCUCCUUGCACACACCGCCCGUCAAACCACCCGAGUGAGGUUCGGAUGAAGCUGUGUGUUAACACGGU
rnacentral:rRNA from 1 species